GGAUUAGUGAGCAUCUUUCAACUGAGAUGCUUUGAAUACAGAAGGUUGGUAACUUUUUAAGUGAUCUUAACAGUCUUACCUGCCACACCCUUUCUGAACUCUCUCUCAUAAUCCCUCUUUGGCCAAACCAAUCAGAGAGCAGGAGUGAUCUGCGACUGACAGCCAUAAUGGCAGAAGGAUUAAGGUUUUCGCAGUAGCAGUACAGAACAAGCUGCUUUUUGUUACUGGUCUGAAAGAAGCUUGGCUGGGCUUUCUUCUCCCCGCCUGAAGGGAGGAAUAAACAAGGACCUCUGGGAGAAGCAGUGGAGGGUUUGGGGGAGGGGUGAGGGUAAGUGGGUGGGGUUGCAGCCUCUUAUAGCUGAAAUCCGAGAGAACAGGGAGAAUUCCAAGUACAGAAUGAAAAUCAGCUGAAACAGAACGAGAUUCAUUCCAGUUAAGAAAAAAACACAUUUCUAAGUACAUGUUGCUAUAUACUUCUCAAAAGAAACACCUUGUGUGUUUGGCGAGUUUUGAAGGUUGCUGUGAUUUAUGGGAGUAUAAAUAUGGAUUGGCUUUCACCAUUCUAAAAAGCAGAAUCAUUUAAAAACACUUCCAAUUUAAUCUCCCAUAAAUAACGUAAAAGUCAGCAGUCACAGCUGUGUUCCUGAUAUCAGAGCCUAUCAGGAGGGCCUGGUUAACGUUGAUCAGAGAAACCAGUGGUGAAGAUAAUGUCUCAAUCACACCUUCAAAACCAUGUACCUCUGCCUGUUAACAAUGAUGAAAUGGUGUACUUAGAAUGAUAAAAAAACAUUGCUGCACAGUAUUAAAGAAGUUACUAGAUUACAGCAUUUUUAGUGUAGUACAGAAUCUGAGGCAAAAAUGAAUAGAAACAAACCAGAGAUGAUCCUGUAUAAGAACCUCAGUGAAAUUAGGGAAAACUAAACGCCGGAUUGAGUUUUAAACCAUAAAGUAUAUAUCUUUGUGUUUCUGAAAAAGGAAUUGAAUAUGUCUCUAAUACAGGAUCAGUCUCCAUUCUGCAGAAUACUAAUGCGACCACAUGCUUUUCAUGCAAUGUCUUCCCCAUUGCAGCAAAAAACUAAAUCCAUUGUUUGGUUACCACUGCAUAUCCUCAUCUGAGAUGGGGAACAAUUACACUAAUGAUUGAAAAUGAGAGAAAAAAAUUCAAGAAGCAGCCUACAUACAAGGUCGUCCCCAUGCCCCUCCUGGAGGCCGCCAUCUUCGUACAGCUGCGGCAUCACAGAAUCCGGGAGCUGGGUUUGGAGAUCGUGUCUCUCUAUGACCACGCCUCCUGGCACAUCACAACAGUAGGGGCUGUAGAGUCACUGGUGUGCAGCAUGCUGUGUCCUGUUGUGUAGUCAUCUUAAACAACCGUCCAUUUUCUAAUCACUGUACCCAGUACUGGGCCACGGGGAGCUGGAACCUAUCCUGGCAAGCAAUGAGCACGGGGCAGGACACACCCCGGACGGGACGCCUGUCUCACCCCAGGGGUUUUCCCAGAAGCCAAUUACCCUACCAGUAUGAUUGUGGGGAGGAGGAGGAAACCCACUCCAAACACGGGGAGAACAAUACAAACUCCACGCAGACAGCACCCCAGGUCUGGAACUGAACCCAGGGUCCAAGUGAUGCUGCUCCUUCUUAAGUGUCACUCAGAAGUAUUUGUUUGUCCAUGUCUGACUCAUUACUCUGUCGCCAGAGCUGCGCGCCUCACUCUUCUCACAUGCCUCACAUAUUACCUACAGUACCUGCUUACUACUCAGGGCCUCAAGGCUGAGACAGCCUGCUCUUGGGUUUGUCUUAUGCAAACAGACUGCUGCUCAUACUACCUGCAACAGUGGUACAAUUACAGUAGCACGUGUAACUAUUAAGUUAGGGCUGAUUUCAACUUCAAUCAUUUUUAAUACCAACUUUGGCAGAAUUCCAAAGAAAGAUACAAGUGUACGCUAGAGAUUUUAUUUGCCGUGUCAUGCAAAGUCUCCUUUAGAAGGAAGUGCUUUAACUGAUUAUAUGUGAUGAGAUUUCAUAUGAAUGAAAGACAGAGUAUUGGACUUAGCUCUUCAAAAUCCAAAGCAGCUACUUUGGAGGAGCAACCUGAUUUAGGCAGAGCCUGGAUGCCUUCCUUUUCCCGGUGAUGAAUGUGACCAGAGAGGCUGAGAGAAAUAUCAAGGGUCUUAGAAACGUUUUCUAUCCUCCUCCUGAUUUGUUCUUGUAUGUUUAUCAGCUGCAUCCCUGAGUUGUUUUGAAAGCUCUUUUGGUCUUCAGGGUUACAGUUUUGCUUGUGGUAAAAGUAACUGAGUGAGGGAACAUGAAAGGAUAGGUGCGUGUAUUCUGAAAUCAUAGGCACCACUAUCACUGCACUCAGACCGAUACUUUUACAAAUUUCCAUAAUUUUGUCUGUGGAAUUCUUUUGUUUUUUCUUUUUGCAUUGAAAGUGUCAUGACUGCAGGCUUCAAAGCAACCAACUGUGAAAAGUGUGCAAGGGGCUGAAUACGUUUGCAAAGCACUUUCUUAUGAAAACCUUAUAGGAAAAAUCUUCAAGUGUUUAAUACCUAAGCACACCAGGGGAAUUUCUGGACAUGGUAUAAACACAAAAACAUUUAUUAGCAUCAAAGAAUGAUGCACUAGCUUAAUAUUAUACCUUUCAGUAGCGUUUUUGCUUUUGCUUUGGUCAGACAAUUUCCCAUUGUUACGUACUAAACUGAACAUGUUUCAAAUACAUCAGGUGUAUUUAUCGUAUCCUUUUUAUGUACUUAAAAGUGUUUGUGCAAAAAGUGUUUGUGACAUUUGUAGUGAUUUAAUGUAAAAAAAAGCUUCUUAUUCCAGUGCAAAAGAAUUAUCCUGUUUCAUCAGCAAAAAAUUCUAAACUUUCAGGCUGUAAGUAUACAGUAGCUGUAAGUAUAGAGUUUACCUGCAGACAAAUUUUGGCGCAGAUUGUACCAGAAUCUUAAAUAAGAUCUUGAAUUUCUUUUGAAAUGGGGCCAACUUUUAAAGGCAAGUCAAUCUGAGACUCCAAACACCAUCUGUUCAGUUUGUUUUAAUAAUUGAGUUACGUAUUGAACGCAAAAAUAUUUGAAAG